GUGGGGAAUAUUGGACAAUGGGCGAAAGCCUGAUCCAGCCAUGCCGCGUGUGUGAAGAAGGUCUUCGGAUUGUAAAGCACUUUAAGUUGGGAGGAAGGGCAGUAAGUUAAUACCUUGCUGUUUUGACGUUACCAACAGAAUAAGCACCGGCUAACUUCGUGCCAGCAGCCGCGGUAAUACGAAGGGUGCAAGCGUUAAUCGGAAUUACUGGGCGUAAAGCGCGCGUAGGUGGUUCAGCAAGUUGAAGGUGAAAUCCCCGGGCUCAACCUGGGAACUGCCUCCAAAACUACUGAGCUAGAGUACGGUAGAGGGUAGUGGAAUUUCCUGUGUAGCGGUGAAAUGCGUAGAUAUAGGAAGGAACACCAGUGGCGAAGGCGACUACCUGGACUGAUACUGACACUGAGGUGCGAAAGCGUGGGGAGCAAACAGGAUUAGAUACCCUUGUAGUCC
rnacentral:rRNA from 1 species